rnacentral:rRNA from 1 species
ACUGCUCAGUAACACGUAGCUAACCUACCCUUAGGACGUGGACAACCCCGAGAAAUUGGGGCUAAUCCGCGAUAGAUGUAUUGUCCUGGAAUGGUAUUACGUCUAAAGGUAUCCCAUACAUGUUUGGUAUAUGCCUAAGGAUGGGGCUGCGGCCGAUCAGGCUGUUGGUGAGGUAAUGGCUCACCAAACCUUUGACCGGUACGGGCCAUGAGGGUGGUAGCCCGGAGAUGGACACUGAGACAAGGGUCCAGGCCCUACGGGGCGCAGCAGGCGCGAAACCUCCUCAAUGCACUUACGUGCGAAGGGGCUACCUCGAGUGCCACCUGAUGAAGGUGGCUUUUCCUAGGUCUAAAAAGCCUUGGGAAUAAGAGGGGGGCAAGACUGGUGUCAGCCGCCGCGGUAACACCAGCCCCUCGAGUGGUGGGGAUGAUUAUUGGGCCUAAAGCGUCCGUAGCCUGCCGUGUAAGUUUCCCGUUAAAUCCAGCGUCUUAAGCGUUGGACCGCGGGAAAUACUGUACGGCUAGAGAGUGGGAGAGGUCAGCGGUAUUCUGGGGGUAGGGGCGAAAUCCUUUGAUCCCCGGAGGACCACCAGUGGCGAAGGCUGCUGUCUAGAACACGUCUGACGGUCAGGGACGAAAGCUGGGGUAGCGAACCGGAUUAGAUACCCGGGUAGUCCCAGCCGUAAACGAUGCAUGCUAGGUGUUGGGUUGGCCACGAGCCACCCCAGUGCCGCAGGGAAGCCGUUAAGCAUGCCGCCUGGGAAGUACGAUCGCAAGGUUGAAACUUAAAGGAAUUGGCGGGGGAGCACCACCAGGCGUGAAGCCUGCGGUUUAAUUGGAGUCAACGCCGGA